rnacentral:lncRNA from 1 species
CUGCGAUUAAGCACCCUUUCUGCAGAAAGUAAAGAUGGCCUUACUGAGGUCUUUUGUCUCUGUACUGACUUCUCUUUGCGGCAUCGAUUAUCUAUUUCUAACAAGGUCGGAGGUGGUAACAGAUGCAAGGACCUACGGCUGGAGGAGAACUUUUACCCUAGAAAAAAAUUUCAACAGCUGAUUGCACAGGUGUGCCUGAUGAAGAUUCUUGGCUGUGUCACUUGCAAAACCUGCUCCACCUCAGCAGCACAGUGAGGACUUUGAAUUUUUUAUCUGAUGUGCAGCUUCCCUCACAACCUAGCAGCGACUCAGUGUCCUGGAGGCGUUUUCUUUCUCCAUCCCUGCCUCGUAGCCUGUUCUGCCUGCUGAAGUCUUCUCCCCUGGGAAAGGACAAAUCCCCUUGGUGCUUCACAGGGAAACGGUUUUGCUCAGUGGUCACCAGUGGUUCCCCAGCAUCCAGAAGUUGCUGUGUUUGAAGAGCAGGACGGAAUUUUUCCUGAGAAGCAACAGCAGUGAUUGGCAAGGGCGCAAAUGGUGAGUGGGUUUCCCUCACACGCUGCACCUGCUCCAUGGAGGAAAUGCAUCCCGUGGGAGACAGCAGCACCACUGCCAACAAAGCCCCUCAGGUCCUAACCUUUCUGCUUUGCUUUGGGGAGCAGGAAGGAUUGGGGUGUAGAAGAACCUCAUUAAACCUCAUUCAGUAUCACUAAUGCACUCACUCCACCCGAAACAUUAAUUACACUGACUCCUAGUCAUCAUUUGCUACUUUUUUACAACAUUUCACCCACUUGAAAAGUUCAACUGUUCAGAUGAAAGCCA